rnacentral:rRNA from 1 species
UACAGAGGGCGCGAGCGUUGUCCGGAAUCACUGGGCGUAAAGGGUGCGUAGGCGGGUCUUUAAGUCAGGGGUGAAAUCCUGGAGCUCAACUCCAGAACUGCCUUUGAUACUGAGGAUCUUGAGUUCGGGAGAGGUGAGUGGAACUGCGAGUGUAGAGGUGAAAUUCGUAGAUAUUCGCAAGAACACCAGUGGCGAAGGCGGCUCACUGGCCCGAUACUGACGCUGAGGCACGAAAGCGUGGGGAGCAAACAGG